CUAAAACAGCGAGGGGGGCACAGGGGGUGGGCUCGCUGUGAGCCCUUGUGCACAUGUGUUCCAGCGGCUACGUCUGUCCAACGGGGAUGAGAGCGCCGCCCUUGGAGAGCUUCUGCGAUGGCGGCGAUUGCAGUGUGAGAGGCGGAGUGACUGGAAGCGCCGCCCACCUCAGUCCCCACCCCUGCCCCCCACACUGCUCUGGACCAACAGGAAGGCCCCUCCAUGAUGGAGGUUUUCUGAUAAAGUCACAUACGUUGGCUAUGAAGUUCCUCCCUCUUUCUUCAGCCACACUUGCACGAGCUUUUAAAUUUUCUUUUCUUUUCUUUUUUUAUUUAUGAUCCGUUAACCUCUGUCCCCAUGGACUAAGCUUAAGAUCCAAGAAUGAGCCUAGUCCCUGGGCUGAAGGUCUUGCUUUUUCCCUUUGCACUCAACUGUGGGGGAUUCCCUUACUUAUGUGAUAGAAACUCAGCACCAUGUGACAGCUAACUCUGAUAUCCAUGAAAAAUGACUGCAAAGCAGAAAAAGUAUAGAUGCGGGAUAGUCUGUGAUGACAUAUAUGAUCAAAAAGAGAAAAAUACUGACGUGUCUAUUUAUUUUCAGCUCUUCUAAGAUGAAAUGACUGACGCUGAUCAACAGGAGGCUUAAUUUACAAGCAAAGUAGUUGACCUGGGGUUUCGAUGCCGAAUGGCCAUCUGAUUUGGAUCGUAUGGCCUCAUAAGAUGUGCUGCUGCAUUAAAACGAGCUCCACUCUAAAACCCGGUGCUGAUUAUACUUGACGUGCUAUGAUGUUCCUGUGUGAUGCGUUGUCAUAUGUGCACACCUGAGUCUCAGAAAGUUUACAAGUCAACCAACGCCUCUGGAGACCUCCAGUUUUGAACAACACUUUACUGGCUUAGACAUGGGACCUUUUUCAGGUACACAGCUCUCACUUAGCGUCUCAUGUUUGGGCUCUAAGUGCUACUGCAGCCCUGGCAGCAAGCGACCGGGGGUCAGGGUAACCUCAGUAUUAUCCCAAGGUGCACUUCUCUUCCCCCUUGUUACCACCAGCCUUUGAGAAAGCCCUCUGGCCAAAUCCUAAACUACUGCACUUACCUUUACUAGGAGACGGGGAUCCAUCUAAUGAGCAUACUUUGGCUUUAUGUAUAAAGGUAAAGCUGAGAUUUAAAAAAAAAAAAAAAAAAAGCUUUAGCCGAUAGGUAUUUAGUUCAUGUUGUGAACAUGAAACUCUGUGCCAAAGUGAUACAAUGUGUAAAAGCU
rnacentral:lncRNA from 1 species